rnacentral:rRNA from 1 species
UACGUAGGGCGCAAGCGUUAAUCGGAAUUACUGGGCGUAAAGCGCGCGCAGGCGGUUAUAUAAGACAGAUGUGAAAUCCCCGGGCUCAACCUGGGAACUGCAUUUGUGACUGUAUAGCUAGAGUACGGCAGAGGGGGAUGGAAUUCCGCGUGUAGCAGUGAAAUGCGUAGAUAUGCGGAGGAACACCGAUGGCGAAGGCAAUCCCCUGGGCCUGUACUGACGCUCGUGCACGAAAGCGUGGGGAGCAAACAGG